CCACCGCCUUGUGUUAUUAAUCACAAUCAUCAUCAUGUGUCUGUUACCACAAGCUAGAAUAUGUACGUACGUAUAUGUACUAGCAAAUAUAUGUUCACUCACCGACACUCUUCUUGCACAAAUGCAACCACAAACAUAUAAUACCUACAGCUUUGGCUUCAUCACAAGGUUUUUUCACUACUCACUUCAAUCUUUAUCGGUGAAUAUGCCGUACACUUUGUACCGUACAGAUAAUGUCUCUAAAUCUUGAGAGCAAAUACCAACGCUCCUAGUUUAAAAUCGUGGGUCGUGUAGUUCUUUUCGUGCACCUGACGAGAGGCAUAAGUGUUGUGUAUGAUUGAUUGAUGAUCGAUCGAGGAUGUUGAAACAAUCGGGUAGUAGGAACCAAAGGGCGGCAAAAGGAUUCAAGGUGAAGCAUGUUAUACAAAUAUGUGUGUUGCUUCUUAUUACUAUUUGGUUAAUAUACCAAUUGAAUCAGUCUUACAUGAUUAACUAUUCCCCAAUUCAACUCACUUUUCUUCAUGCCACGCAACAAGACAUUUCGUUGCUUGGAAGAAAAGGGUUUGUUAAAGAAGUCGAGAAAGAGCAAGAUGAUGACAAACAAGAGGUUGAUGAUCAAGAAAAACCGGAAGAUGAGGAACCCGAACUAUUGGAAGAUUUGAUCGAUGAGGACGACAAGGAAGACAGAAUUGGCAAAGUACAUGUGUUACCAUGAAUCUUAAAGUUAGUCUAUAGUCUAUAGAAAGAUUAUAGUAUAUAAUAACAACCAUAUCCAAUCUCUACGUAAGCGGGGUAUAUGGGAGGUAAGGGUAGAACAAUCUUGUCUUUACCUAAGGGUAAAAAAACCCGCUUCCAUAAGGAUCUCCGACCAUAAUAUAUGGUGUGGUAAUGUACGUUUUAAGUUCGAUCAUGAUCGUUUAUGUACUCUUGCAUAUUUUAUAGAAUAAUGUCAAAUAAGUGAGACUGGGACGAAUGUUGGUCCGCUUAUAAAUUUUGAUGUAAAAGAUGUUAAUAUCUAAUAAUUAAGGUGUGGGUUUAUAUUUCUUUUUGAAAUAUAAAACCAGGAAAUUAAAACGUAA